ensembl:lncRNA
AUGAAAAUAUAUAUUUUUCCUGCUCUCACCAUCAGAAGCAGGCAUGUUAAAGGUAUUAACAAUUGGUGUUCCUCUCUGGAGGGAUCCUCUAGUUAUGGGCUUUGGAACCCAGACAGGAAAUGUGAAUCAUGCAGCAAUGCAAAAUUAAUUCAGACGGAAAGAAAGGAUGUAGCCCAGGUAACUUGGGUGGAGAGGCCCACGGGGGGCUGGAGGUGUCUAACCUGCCUCCUGCCCUUGUCCGCCCCAGCUCUCUGUGGCAGAAGAGAGGCUUUCUUUGAAGAGGAUGGCUGCUGUGGGACCUGGAAGCUACCAAAGGUGUCUCCGGGAAUUCUCCAGAGGUUGCCUUAAAUGCGUCAGGCAUUAGCCCCGGUCCUCACUGGCCUAAGUUAGCCUGCCCAGGCCUCCUGAGCCGUUGGUGAGAGCAUUGCCUUGUGCUGGUCAUCUAUACCAUGACUGCUUCUUCCAGGUCCCUGGGGCCUUCCUGCUGCAGAACUGUAAGUCUAUCACUGCCUCCUCAGAGCAGUCUACCUCUGGGUCACCUGGGCAAUAAUGCUUUCUUUGGAAGAAAGUGGGGAUUAUUAUUUCUCUCUACAUUUUACUCCAGUGAGGGCUUUGGUGGUGGGAAGGAUUCAGGAUUGUUGCCUGGGCUCCCUUGUUAGAGCUGCUUGAUCCAGAUCUCUCCUCUGCCUUGAGUCCUUUCACUUCUGUGUAGCCCAGGCCAGUGCUAUCCAUCUGGUUGAGUUGGGUUGAAUUCUCUUUGCUCCACCUCGGGGUAGCUCUGCAGGAGCUCCCCAAAAGGCAGAGGAUGCCCUUGAUGUUGGCAAGGCCAUGGCAGCUCCCCAUUCUACCAGGAGGUGGACUGUUAUACUCAGCGGCAAGGGUGCUAUGAUUCAGACAGACAGCAUGUCUCAGCUGGUGGCUCGGAUCCCAGAGUGCUACCGAAUUCUGUGAAUCAGCCCUUUCAGUUCACAUACACUGUCCCCUUUCUCCUGGAGGGCACACACAGCACCAUGGUGGCUGGCAUGGGCUGAGUUCCCAUAACAGCUGCAAGAUGCAUCUGGAGUCACCAACUCCCCUCCAUCCUUUAGUCCUAAAGCUACAUCUGGCUCGCAGUGACAGCCCCCUCGCUCCUGGGUCCCAUCUUCUUUUUCACUUCUCUUGGGAAACCCCCAGUGCAUUGGAUACCUGAUGAUCUCUUGCCUUUCACAGAUGGGGGUCCAGUUGUUGUUCCUAGGAGACUCUAUAGCCCCCAUUUAAGCCAAGUGACAGGAGCAGAAGAGAGAAAAAAAAGCAUUAAUAAUCCCCACAUGCCUGACACACUGGGCAUCAUCUCUGCUCCCAGCAGUGUCUCACAGACCAAGGUUUUCUGCCUUCAUCUAAUAGAAAGAAAUCUGUCUUUGUGCAGGCUGCCUUUUCAAGAUUAAGGGCCACAGAAUGGUGCAGAAACUUUCUGAUCGUUUUUAUUUGACGUUUAAAUGUUUGAAGCCAUUUUGUUGGGGUAUAAUUGGUAUAUAUGUGUAUACACACACAAAUAAAAAAUUGUACACAUUGAGAGUGUAUAGUUUG